CUUUACAUAAUUGCAACCUUUCCACAUAAGCUAUUUGCUUUGUGUUGAGUGUCGUCAAGUCUUGUUGACCCUUGUUAAGAGACUUUUCAUGCUCCUAAGAUCAAGAUCACGUACACACCACAUAUAUAUAUGCUGCUUCUACACUGGAAGUACGCAACCACAUGUAUUUCGCAUCCACUAAAUAGGUUGCUCCAUACUCUAAAUGUUAGAACAUCUCUCUAAGCAUUAUUUGGUAAAUGAGACAUCAAAAGGGCUAGGCAAAAUGAAAUAAAAAGAUGGACAUGUGCAAGUCCACAGAAAAAGAAAAUUGAGCACAUGAAAGCUCAUAUAUAUAAAAAAAAAGAAGAAAAAAAUGCUAGCCAUGUCUCAAUACAUAGAGAGUCUAUCAAAUAAAGGAGCAACCUAGUCCACCAUAUAUCACACUUGCACAUCUUGAUCUGGGAGUAUGACACUUCUCUUCAAGGAUCGAGCUUUGACUUCGCAAUACAUGCAAAGUAAGUAUGCUAUCUCCUUUCAUCCCUACCUUGAACUCCACAUAAGCCUUUUAGAAAUAGGAUGAAAUAGAGAAGGCAACUCUUACCAUAUGCCUUGGUGAGGAAUCAUACACCAUUUGAGUGACAUGAGAGAACCAUAAGAGGAACAUUUAAGCUUUCUUUUGAAAAUAUCACAAAACCUCUGAUAUGAAACUUGCUAAGAAUGAGAAAGUUAGUGCUCAAGUCAAACUGUUCUGUCUCUCAACCACCUAAGACAAAGGAAAAGCCAUAAGCCCCAUAAGGGACUAAGGUAAUAGGGGUAAGUUUACAUAGCUAAAUUUUUCAUGCAAAG
rnacentral:lncRNA from 1 species